UGUACCUACGGGGCGCAGCAGUGAGGAAUAUUGGUCAACGGUCGGGAGACUGAACCAGCCAAGCCGCGUGAGGGAGGAAGGUACAGAGUAUCGUAAACCUCUUUUGUCAGGGAACAAAGGCGGGGACGUGUCCCCGGAUGAGUGUACCUGAAGAAAAAGCAUCGGCUAACUCCGUGCCAGCAGCCGCGGUAAUACGGAGGAUGCGAGCGUUAUCCGGGUUUAUUGGGUUUAAAGGGUGCGCAGGCGGUCUGUUAAGUCAGCGGUCAAAGCCCGGGGCUCAACACCGGCCCGCCGUUGAAACUGGG
rnacentral:rRNA from 1 species